ensembl:snRNA U1 U1 spliceosomal RNA
AUACUUACCUGACGGGAGAGAUACGGUGAUCAUUAAGGCGGUGUUCUCAGGGCGAGGCCUACCCAUUGUACUUUGGGCGGGUUGACCCCUGCGAUUUUCCAAAAUGUGGGAAACUCGACUGUACAAUUUGAGGAGUGCAGAGGGCACAGUAAGAGGCUCGAU